rnacentral:misc_RNA from 1 species
AACUGAUACUACCUGCGGGAACCUGCGGAAGGAUCAUUACAGAGUUGCAAAACUCCAAACCAUUGUGAACUUACCUUUGCCGUUGCUUCGGCGGGCGGCGUCGGGAUCUGCCCGGCGCCCCCCGGCCCCGCGAGGGGCGCCCGCCGGAGGUAAACCAAACCCUUGAAUUGUAUGGCCUCUCUGAGUCUUCUGUACUGAAUAAGUCAAAACUUUCAGCAACGGAUCUCUAGAUCGGAAGAG